rnacentral:rRNA from 1 species
UACGUAGGUGGCAAGCGUUGUCCGGAUUUACUGGGCGUAAAGAGCGCGCAGGCGGUCGUUCAAGUCGCGUGUGAAAGCCCCCGGCUCAACUGGGGAGGGUCACGCGAUACUGAUCGACUCGAAGGCAGGAGAGGGUAGUGGAAUUCCCGGUGUAGUGGUGAAAUGCGUAGAUAUCGGGAGGAACACCAGUGGCGAAGGCGGCUGCCUGGCCCAAUACUGACACUCAGGUGCGACAGCGUGGGGAGCAAACAGG